ensembl:lncRNA
CCCCCUCACGUGCCCUAACGCUCUUCCCGCCCCCUGCGCGGCCUGGCCCCACCCUCCUCUCGCCGCCAGCUCGCGUCCGGCUGACAGGCCGGAUCUGAGGUGGACAGGCCGGGUCUGAGGUAGACAGGUCAGCCGGUGCAGCCAAGGCGAGUCAGGGGAAGGGGUGUGUGGCUGCGACUGUGGUGACAGGGCCAAGGCCCCUCUGGAGAUGCGAGACCAAGAAUGAGGCGUGGAAAACGCACAUCCGAAAUGUAUGGCAACAACUUCUGCAGCCGGCAGAGUGUGAACGGCGGCUUCUCGGCCUUGCUCCCUCACCGCCGCGGCGCACGUUCGGGGCUGAGGAGGCCCAGGAGUCGCGAGAGCGGCGGUUUCUUGGGGACCUACCAGGCCCCGCCCAUCGGGCCAACCCCGCCCCUUUCCACGACGUCCCCGCCCACCAGAUCUCCGGAGAGAUGAGUUUUACAAGGGAAAGAGCUUAACUUUUGCGUACACUACUUCCGCAGUCAGGCUAGCGCUCUGAAGGAUUGGAAGUGCUCUGACGGACUCCUGAGAUUGCGGACAUGCGUUCGGGAGUCACACUCUAGGAGGGCGCGGAGUGCACGCGUGAGGGGCAUUGCGGCCGCAUCCUGAUGAUCCAUGAGCCGCAUCUUAGCUGGGCGCUUAAAAACCCUUGGGUUCUUUCAGCCGCGAGUUGUGCUGCUUGGUUGUGACAAGAAAGCUGAAAGAUAAAAGAACAAAAGGAAAGAUAUAAAGUGAGGGCCGUUGUGGGAGGCCCUGAGAGUGGGUCCUGCCUGCGGGGUUUCCCUAUAUUUGGCAUGGCUGGCUUUGGAUCCCUGGGUUUGAGUGACCCCUGCCUCAGCCACUUGAAGAGUUGGACUUGCAGCUGACAGGCCUGAGCGCGGUUUUGCAGUGGACACAUGUGGCUUCCUUGUGGCCUGCCUUUGCGGAUGACCUCCUUUGCCUACCUUUCCAGAGCUGUCUUCGUCUUCCUGUUGUUGAGGGCCUAAGGACAGAAGCCUGAAGGCCGGAUGACCUAGCAGAGGCAGGUGCAGCCGAUGCACUGAGCCUGUCCCAGCCUGCUGCCUGGUCCCCGAACUGGACACUUCUGAGGGGCACAAAAAGUGGCUCCAGACUCUCUGGUGCUAAAUAUAAAAUGAAAAGAUACAUCACCCGAUGAAACCAGCCAGGAGCCUCCCAGGCAGAGCAGAGGAGCCAAGGAGGAGGCCCAGGAAAAGCCACAGAGCCGCCUGUGAAGAGAUGGAAGGCUUUCCACCCACAUCUGCGCCGCUGGGUGCACCGGGACCACUCUGAGCCUCAAUCUUCCCUGUGCAGAAGGGAUUGAACUCUGGACCUUGUGGUGGUGAGGCAGGCGGCGGAACCACUGAGGCGUGUCUGUUCAUUUCAGUUGCCAAGAUAUGGACAAAUAAUUUGAAUGAACAUUUUUCAAAAGGAGAAAGCCACAUGACCAACAAAUUUAUGAAAAUAGCUGCCAGAGAAAUGCACAUGAAAACCACAGUGAGAUAUUAUCUCACCGCAGUGAGAAUGGCUGUUAUCAAAAGGACAAAAAGAAGAAUGCUGGGGAGUAUGUGGCGAAGGAGAACUCUCACAGGUGGUCAGUGGGGAGAUCCAGUAGCACAGCUCAAAGGCCCCUCCAACAGCAAAGACAGAGCUGUCAUAGGAUUCACUGCCCUCCUUCCGGGCACUCACUCCUGGGAUAGGGCCAGCACACAGGCAGGCCCCUUGUCCGGUAUAUUGUGGUGCUGCUCAUAACGGCUAAGACAGCAAGUCAACCCAGAUGCCACGGACAGCAGGGUGGGUGGAUGGUGGAUUUCAGCCUCUGCUCCAGG